rnacentral:rRNA from 1 species
GAUGAACGCUGGCGGCGUGCCUAAUACAUGCAAGUCGAGCGAACAGAUAAGGAGCUUGCUCCUUUGACGUUAGCGGCGGACGGGUGAGUAACACGUGGGUAACCUACCUAUAAGACUGGAAUAACUCCGGGAAACCGGGGCUAAUGCCGGAUAAUAUUUAGAACCGCAUGGUUCUAAAGUGAAAGAUGGUUUUACUAUCACUUAUAGAUGGACCCGCGCCGUAUUAGCUAGUUGGUGGGGUAAUGGCUUACCAAGGCAACGAUACGUAGCCGACCUGAGAGGGUGAUCGGCCACACUGGAACUGAGACACGGUCCAGACUCCUACGGGAGGCAGCAGUAGGGAAUCUUCCGCAAUGGGCGAAAGCCUGACGGAGCAACGCCGCGUGAGUGGUGAAGGUCUUCGGAUCGUAAAACUCUGUUAUUAGAGAAGAACAAAUGUGUAAGUAACUGUGCACGUCUUGACGGUACCUAAUCAGAAAGCCACGGCUAACUACGUGCCAGCAGCCGCGGUAAUACGUAGGUGGCAAGCGUUAUCCGGAAUUAUUGGGCGUAAAGCGCGCGUAGGCGGUUUCUUAAGUCUGAUGUGAAAGCCCACGGCUCAACCGUGGAGGGUCAUUGGAAACUGGGAAACUUGAGUGCAGAAGAGGAAAGUGGAAUUCCAUGUGUAGCGGUGAAAUGCGCAGAGAUAUGGAGGAACACCAGUGGCGAAGGCGACUUUCUGGUCUGUAACUGACGCUGAUGUGCGAAAGCGUGGGGAUCAAACCGGAUUAGAUACCCUGGUAGUCCACGCCGUAAACGAU